UUCUUAGUGAUCAAUAACAUCCAUUACUUCAAUGGAAAUAUAACCAGAGCACAUGCUACUGCAGGAGAACACUCAGGAGACAACAGUCCUUAAAGUGGUCAAAAGAAAAUGUAUAUUAAUGGCUGCUGGAUGAAUGUCAUCAGUUGGUGUUGUGUUCAGAUGCAGAAGGAGAAGAUGAAAUCAUAAUUUAAUCUUAAUGCAUUCAACAUAAAAACAAACCUCCAAUUCCAGAAACGCCCUUGCUGCUGUACCCAGUCAUGAGGUAAAAUUACUCUAAAUACCAACAAAUAAAAGACGACUUACCAAACAACCAGUGAAGGGUGAAGUGCUGUCAUCCUUAGAUUUAGGAGGAUCUUGAGGUUGUGUUUUAGGCAGUUCAUUUCUGUGAGUCAGACCCCGCACUCAGAGGUGUGAUGGCAUACCCUUCAUAGAGUGUGGGGCUGCAAUUACCUAUUUCACAUUUUGAACCAUUUCCUCUAUCCACUAUGGGGUGCUGGAGAAUGCGCUAAUGAUACAUCAUGUUUUUGUACAUCAACUAUAGACCACAGCAUGUAAAUUUCAGGUAAAUCAAAAGAUGAGUGUCUGAUAAGACGUGCUUCCUGUCGCCACUAGGUGGCGCUAUGACUAUCACGGAAUAUUGUCACAUAGAUGUGUUCAGGGUGGGACUAUUAUGAAUCAUGUAAAGUUUGGUGGACAUCCGACCAUUUACUCCAAAGACAUAGCAAUUUCGUAUCUCAUGGUGAGACAUCUAAAUUCAAUGCUCUGCAGUGGGCGUGCCCUUCAAUGUGAGAGAGAUCUUGUAAUAACUUUUGAUCACAAUUUAGUCAAGCUCACACAAACCAAGUUUGAAGUCAAUCUGAUUAAUUCUGUAGAAGUUUGUUAAAAUACAACACGUGGGAAAUGCCAAAAAUGACCAAGGAAUUCAAGAUGGCCGACUUCCUGUUGGGUUCAGGAAAUAGGUCCAUGAGGCUUUUUUGUGCAUCUGGGCAUGAUACACGUGUGUACCGAUUUUCGUGCAUGUCGGUGAAACAUGCCGCAGAGGCUGCUCCUUAAAGGGGCGAGGCCAAGCCAUUUUGCCCUGCCCACUGACGAAAGCCAUAUCACACGUAAAUUUACAUAACGACUCGUACGCACGCGCGUUUUCAAAUAUGUUAAAACCCCCAAAACUCCAAUUUACUUCUAGGAAAAAUAAUGAUAAUUCCUUUAGUUUCAAUAGGGCCUUUGCCCGCCAAUGGUCGGUGCUCGGGCGCUAGAAAUGUGAACUAUUAAGUUAGUAACCCGAGACCAGUGUUUUUUAAGGUCAGAGUCUAUUUCUGUCACAUUUAGUGAAGAGUAAUCUGCACAGACAGAUGUUUUAAUCACACAUAUAUCCUGCUAUGUAUGUGUGUUUAAUUUAUUAACCAUAUCUACAUUGAUUGAUCAGCUCCCAGUCCGUCUGUGAGCGGCAGAUUCCCCUCACUCACUAUGAUGUGCUGGCAAAUAAAAUCGUUGACCCAAUAAAUACAAACUCUUUUGAUUUCUUUCCAUGGAGCUGACAUGAAAACUAUUUAGGUUCAGUAAAGUCUGCUAUCAGUCACCCUGGUGAAGACAGAUGACCGGCCGCUGUUCUUUCAGCUCUGUGGGAGCUGCUGCUGUAUAGUGUAUUCACAUUCUGUGAUUAUUUCUCUGUGAAGUAGUUGUUAUUGUUAGAAAUGCAGCUCGCCAUUACUGCACUAGUAUCAUUCACUA